UACGUAGGGCGCAAGCGUUAUCCGGAAUUAUUGGGCGUAAAGAGCUCGUAGGCGGUUUGUCGCGUCUGCCGUGAAAGUCCGGGGCUUAACUCCGGAUCUGCGGUGGGUACGGGCAGACUAGAGUGCAGUAGGGGAGACUGGAAUUCCUGGUGUAGCGGUGAAAUGCGCAGAUAUCAGGAGGAACACCGAUGGCGAAGGCAGGUCUCUGGGCUGUAACUGACGCUGAGGAGCGAAAGCAUGGGGAGCAAACAGG
rnacentral:rRNA from 1 species